rnacentral:rRNA from 1 species
GUCUACAGCCAUGCUACCCCGAACAAGCCCGGAUCUCGCUGAUCUCGGAAGCUAAGCAGGGUCAGGCCUGGUUAGUAGUUGGAUGGGAGACAACCUAGGAAGACCAGGUGCUAUAAGUG